AUUGAACGCUGGCGGCAGGCCUAACACAUGCAAGUCGAACGAGUGGCGGACGGAUGAGUAAUGUAUCGGCAUCUGCCCGAUGGAGGGGGAUCACUACUGGAAACGAUUACUAAUACCGCAUACAAUCGGAUGAGCCCAUAUGGGAUUAGCUAGUAGGAGGGGUAAAGGCUCACCUAGGCGACGAUCUCUAGCUGGUCUGAGAGGAUGACCAGCCACACUGGAACUGAGACACGGUCCAGACUCCUACGGGAGGCAGCAGUGGGGAAUAUUGCACAAUGGGCGCAAGCCUGAUGCAGCCAUGCCGCGUGUAUGAAGAAGGCCUUCGGGUUGUAAAGUACUUUCAGCGAGGAGGCGUUACUCGCAGAAGAAGCACCGGCUAACUCCGUGCCAGCAGCCGCGGUAAUAC
rnacentral:rRNA from 1 species